AGUGAACGCUGGCGGUAGGCCUAACACAUGCAAGUCGAACGGCAGCACAGUAAGAGCUUGCUCUUACGGGUGGCGAGUGGCGGACGGGUGAGGAAUACAUCGGAAUCUACUUUUUCGUGGGGGAUAACGUAGGGAAACUUACGCUAAUACCGCAUACGACCUACGGGUGAAAGCAGGGGAUCUUCGGACCUUGCGCGAUUGAAUGAGCCGAUGUCGGAUUAGCUAGUUGGCGGGGUAAAGGCCCACCAAGGCGACGAUCCGUAGCUGGUCUGAGAGGAUGAUCAGCCACACUGGAACUGAGACACGGUCCAGACUCCUACGGGAGGCAGCAGUGGGGAAUAUUGGACAAUGGACGCAAGCCUGAUCCAGCCAUACCGCGUGGGUGAAGAAGGCCUUCGGGUUGUAAAGCCCUCUUGUUGGGAAAGAAAAGCAGCAGGUUAAUACCCCGCUGUUCUGACGGUACCCAAAGAAUAAGCACCGGCUAACUUCGUG
rnacentral:rRNA from 1 species